UGAUGUCAGAGCUUGCUCUGGCGGAUCAGUGGCGAACGGGUGAGUAACACGUGAGUAACCUGCCCCCGACUCUGGGAUAACUGCUAGAAAUGGUAGCUAAUACCGGAUAUGACGAUUGGCCGCAUGGUCUGGUCGUGGAAAGAAUUUCGGUUGGGGAUGGACUCGCGGCCUAUCAGGUUGUUGGUGAGGUAAUGGCUCACCAAGCCUACGACGGGUAGCCGGCCUGAGAGGGUGACCGGCCACACUGGGACUGAGACACGGCCCAGACUCCUACGGGAGGCAGCAGUGGGGAAUAUUGCACAAUGGGCGAAAGCCUGAUGCAGCAACGCCGCGUGAGGGAUGACGGCCUUCGGGUUGUAAACCUCUUUUAGUAGGGAAGAAGCGAAAGUGACGGUACCUGCAGAAAAAGCACCGGCUAACUACGUGCCAGCAGCCGCGGUAAUACGUAGGGUGCAAGCGUUGUCCGGAAUUAUUGGGCGUAAAGAGCUCGUAGGCGGUUUGUCGCGUCUGCUGUGAAAUCCCGAGGCUCAACCUCGGGUCUGCAGUGGGUACGGGCAGACUAGAGUGCGGUAGGGGAGAUUGGAAUUCCUGGUGUAGCGGUGGAAUGCGCAGAUAUCAGGAGGAACACCGAUGGCGAAGGCAGAUCUCUGGGCCGUAACUGACGCUGAGGAGCGAAAGCAUGGGGAGCGAACAGGAUUAGAUACCCUGGUAGUCCAUGCCGUAAACGUUGGGAACUAGAUGUGGGGACCAUUCCACGGUCUCCGUGUCGCAGCUAACGCAUUAAGUUCCCCGCCUGGGGAGUACGGCCGCAAGGCUAAAACUCAAAGGAAUUGACGGGGGCCCGCACAAGCGGCGGAGCAUGCGGAUUAAUUCGAUGCAACGCGAAGAACCUUACCAAGGCUUGACAUAUACCGGAAACAUGCAGAAAUGUGUGCCCCGCAAGGUCGGUAUACAGGUGGUGCAUGGUUGUCGUCAGCUCGUGUCGUGAGAUGUUGGGUUAAGUCCCGCAACGAGCGCAACCCUCGUUCUAUGUUGCCAGCACGUAAUGGUGGGAACUCAUAGGAGACUGCCGGGGUCAACUCGGAGGAAGGUGGGGAUGACGUCAAAUCAUCAUGCCCCUUAUGUCUUGGGCUUCACGCAUGCUACAAUGGCCGGUACAAAGGGCUGCGAUACCGUAAGGUGGAGCGAAUCCCAAAAAGCCGGUCUCAGUUCGGAUUGAGGUCUGCAACUCGACCUCAUGAAGUCGGAGUCGCUAGUAAUCGCAGAUCAGCAACGCUGCGGUGAAUACGUUCCCGGGCCUUGUACACACCGCCCGUCAAGUCAUGAAAGUCGGUAACACCCGAAGCCAGUGGCCUAACCGCAAGGGAGGAGCUGUCGAA
rnacentral:rRNA from 1 species